CUACAAGCAGGACCACGCCACAUCCUCCGUACGUUCAUCAAUCGCAUCCAGGAAAUACGUCGCAUUCAAAUAUUUCAGCAUCGCACCGUCGUUCAUAUCACCCUGAACAACCUACAGUUAGUCCAGUAAAGGAACUGGAUGCAUUUACGAUAAAUUAUGGAAACCCACGGUCAAACGCGCACGACGGGAAUGAUGAUCAUCGCCCCACUUCGCAUUGGCAUUAUUCUGCACAACCAAGGAAGCAACAACAGCAUGAUAAAAAUCAUGAACAUGCUGAUCAAGAACCAAGCCACACCAUUUCAAUUGGUAAUAUCAUGGAGGUCAAAAUAUCGAAAGCAGCAAACAAUACAGAGCUUCGUGUAAAUGGGCAAAAGGUUGAUGUACACCACUCUCACUCUAGUCAUCGCCACUAAUCCAAAGAUUGGGAAACACACGCGACGACUUUUGACUAGUAAAUUUAUUAGACUUUUGAUGGCUUGAUGAUAC